UACGUAGGUCCCGAGCGUUGUCCGGAUUUAUUGGGCGUAAAGCGAGCGCAGGUGGUUUAUUAAGUCUGGUGUAAAAGGCAGUGGCUCAACCAUUGUAUGCAUUGGAAACUGGUAGACUUGAGUGCAGGAGAGGAGAGUGGAAUUCCAUGUAUAGCGGUGAAAUGCGUAGAUAUAUGGAGGAACACCGGUGGCGAAAGCAGCUCUCUGGCCUGUAACUGACACUGAGGCUCGAAAGCGUGGGGAGCAAACAGG
rnacentral:rRNA from 1 species